UAGAGAGGUAUGGUUAAAGAACAAAGUUGCAGAUCUGUUAUAAAGGAUAAGAGAAAAAUACUGCUCCUGACCUUUUGGUGAAAAGGCCUGAUGUUUUUUUUCUUCCUUUCAAAUUGGUGAAGUUAAUAAAGACCUUGAACAGCUCGGGGUGGUGCUGUUACUGAGACCAAUGGUCUGAUUGAUCUUAAUCCUCCAGACUCCUGUUUUGGGAAGACUGAGAUAAAAGAAACUGCGGUUUCAUAUUCCUACUCUUUCAGUGGCCAAUCAAGUUGAAGAAACUUCAAAAUCUUCCCUAUCAUCACUUCUGAGAUAUGACCCUUGAUUGACCUUGUUCAACAGUUUGUGUCUACCCAAAUCGUCAGUCAAUUUUAAUGUAAAACAAACAAGCAAAGAGAAUAGGAACUCUUACAUGGCUCUCCCAACUUUUUCUAUUUAUUAUUGGUUCACUGCCUUCUCCCCAGAAUCAUUCUCACAGACGUGCUAAAUCUGCUACUGGUAUUAGGAAGGUGUGGGAAAGGGUAAGAAAACUUACUCUGCUUACUAUUAAGAAAGAUCAACUGAAUGUCAUUAAACUGACUGAAAUGAUAUUUAUAGAAAUAUCUUUGGAUAACAGCACGGAAGGACUUCUGCAUAUAAGGAGGGAAAGUCUGUUCUUUAUAGUGUGUAUAAAAUGAAGGUGUUAGAGGAACUGUUACACUCUAGAGAUAUUUGUGGUCAGCCUUAUCUGCUCUUUUUUUCAAGGAUCCUGAAUUACUACUCUCUGGCCUGAACAGUUUUCAAGUUAAAGAGUCAUCCAGAAUCUCAACAUUUGUGGUUUGAAGAAAAGCAUGUAUUUCACAUCUCAAAGCACAAAAAAGAGGAAGAAAAGAGGUUAAAGAAAGUAUAAAAAUGCUACCUCUGCAGAUACCUUCCAGCAGAAGGGAUGUAAAGAAAAACUGUCUUGUGGAAAUGUUAAUGGCAAGAUUAAAUUAGGUUGAUGGGAACAACCCCUCAAGGAAACAUAGGCUUGAACUAGACUGAUAUUUCAUGUAGUAUUUUUUUGUUGCUUUGGCUUUAGAACUCUAUGUAACAUUGUUACAUUGUAGGUUAAAAUAAGAAGGGUUGGAGAUGAGACAGGACCAGAAAUGUAUCCCAGCAUGUCAAAGAGAUUCACAGACACCUAAGGCCAGGGACUUAUUUUUCAACUGCCAAAUGCAGCUUUCAGAAUGCCUCGCAAGAGGCAGAAAUGUCUUCCCAUGCUUGCUUAAGGCCACUAAAGGUAGGCGCGUUGUUUGCUGAAAAUGGGCAGGAGGACAUCCUGAUAUGUCUUAAUUUAUUAAGACCUGGGAUUUGCCACACUUCUGGACCAGCAAAGCAUGCAAGUGAUGCUCUUUGUAUGUCAGCACUUCAUAGCAGAGCAAUACACUGAAGUAAUAUACCCACACUUAUAGAUAAAGCUGAAGGAAAAUCUCAA